GGGGCUGUAGCUCAGUUGGGAGAGCGGCAGGCUGGCAGUCUGUAGGUCAGGGGUUCGAUCCCCCUCAGCUCCACCA
rnacentral:tRNA from 1 species